GUCUUUCUCAACCUCUCUCACAUUUCUCUCAGCCUCUCCUUCAUUUCCUAACCCUAGCCGCACACAACACUCACUCACUACUCUCAUCUCAUCACAUCAUUCAUCUCCAUCUUCAUCACCUUUGGCAGACAAGGUCAUCACCUUUGGCCUCUUCGUCUCUCCAGUAGAUGAAGAAAUCAAAUGCUAUGGGGCCUUUACAUAUUUCUUGUGAUUGAGAAUGGAAAUGAAGACAUGCUGCUUAUUGUUUUUUCGUUUUUUGGUGUUUGAAAAUUCUAGUUUGAUUUGUAUUAAUUAGUUGGAUAUUGAAGUUUAUUUCUAUUUGUAUGCAAAUGUGGGAUUGUAUGUUGAACUUUGUUUUACUGGAAAUUUGGUUAACUUUCCAUGUUUGAUGUAUUGGAGAUUCGGAUUAUUUCAUGAAAA